CCUAAGAAAACCUCCCUCUUUUAAAAGAAAAAUGAUAAACGGCGCACCCCUCCCAUCUUGAAAGAGAUCAGAUUCUCCCAUUUUUGGAAACCCCAACACCGUCUCCCUCCCCGCUAAUUCCAUUUCUCUAAAUUACAUCCCAGAUCCUCACUCUCAAAAGAUACACGCAUUCAAAACACUGGCUAACAUACGAAAUUGAGGCUGCAAUUAAAAAAUCAUUUCUGAGAUUUUAGAACAAAGGUUUCAAAAAAACAGAGACAAAUGAGAAUCAAAAGCAAUGUUCUGAAAUUACUCUCUUAUUGUUGUGUUAUAUUCCACAUUUUUGGGUUUUAAAGAGAAGUCCAAUUCAAAUCGCCGUUCGAUUUUCGCUGCUUUUGCUAUCGCUGCGUCGCCGAUGUUUCUGUUGUUGGAGUUUCCCCUCAAUUUCAGAACUCUGUUCGGUCAAAUUCAAUUGUUCUUGCUAUUAGAUUUUGGAGCUUCGGGUCCUUCUAGCGAGGGUUGAUAACUUCCAGCAGAUUGUUGGGAGUCCACUAGGUAGCUGCUCGGGUUUCGCAGCCCAGUGUUUCUACUUCCUAUCUUCAUUUUCAUUUGUACCGGAUUUCUUUAUAGUCGACUAUGUAGACUCUUCCUACUUUUAGACAGUUAUUUAGAUGUUCAUGACUGGUGACACCCUGAUGUCGGGCUGUAUUGGUUUUUUCGCAUAUUAUACUAUUUCACUUUUAUUUUGGGAUUA